AAUCAGUUGACGAAUCCCAAAUAGGAUGAAACACAUGUGUCUUGAAU
rnacentral:hammerhead_ribozyme from 1 species